AUGAAUAGGAGAAGCUGCACGGAUCUCAGUCACAGAAAGCAAAGUAAGGACCAUCCUUCCAGGGGACUGAUGGAGAGAAAUUUCCAGGGGAGAACUGACAGAACAGAACACAGACUCCAUGGGGCACCGAGGAGAAGAGACAAACAAGUUGCUAUUAGCUGUGUCACCAGCCACGCCUGCAUCUACAUAACUGGGUCCCAGCUGGGAAGUGCCAAGAUAAGUUUGAUAGGUGAUUGGAGCUCAUGGAACAAUGCUUGGAAGUCAGAAAAGCUUCCCUUUUGCUGAGGAGAGAGAUUCUGCAUCCUGCACAGAGGAGUGUGGAUUCAGACUGAUGCUCACUCUUAUGAAGAUAAAGAGGAGGGGAUGAUGGGGCUGUCAGCAUACCAGUGCUCUUCUUCUUCUUCUUUUUUAAAGGUUUAUUUAUUUAUUUGAAAGGAAGAGUUACAGAGAGGCAGAGGCAGAGAGAGGGAGAGAGAGAGAGAGAGAGAGAGAGGUCUUCCAUCCUCUGGUCCACUCCCCAGUUGACCGCAACAGCCAUAGCUGCUCUGAUCCCAAGCCAAGAGCCAGGAAUUUCUUCUGGGUCUCCCACACAGGUGCAGGGGCCGAAGGACUUGGGCCAUCUUCUACUGCUUUCCAGGCCAUAGUAGAGAGCUAGAUGGGAAGUGGAGCAGCCAGGACUUGAACCGGCACCCUUAUGGGAUGUGGGUGCUGCAGGCA
rnacentral:lncRNA from 1 species